UCACGCAUCAGUUUCCAACAGCAUUCUUGUUCUGUUUUCAUGGCUCCAGUACCUAGUUUUCCCAUUAAUGUUGGACAUAUUGAUGAUGUCCAAGAACUGAGAAAGACCAAACCAACACAAAUCCCUCGAAGAUUUGUCCGAGACAAUUCCGAGAGACCAAAACUAGCCACGAUUGUUCCCUCACCUAAUGACAUUCCCAUUAUCGAUCUUUCUAAGCUCGUGGAAUGACAGAGACGAACAAGGAAGACAAAUCUUGUAACUCAAGACCGCCUGCGAGGAAUUAGGAUUUUUUCAGGUUGUGAAUCAUUGGAUCGACCCGAGUGUGGUUGAAAACAUCGAAAAAGUAGCCAAAGAUUUCUUCAUGUUACCUUUAGAGGAAAAACA